rnacentral:lncRNA from 1 species
UUUUUUUUUUUUUUUUUUUGGUUUUCUUAUCUUGUUGGUUUUAUGAAGCCUAUGGCACUAGGGGUUGGCCUCAUACUAAGGCUUCACAGAAGAGAGUUUGAGUGUUCUGUUGAACCAAUUCUGGGUUUUUAAUUUUUCCAAUCAACAGAAGAAAUGAUGUAAUCAGAACCUAUUUGUAAUAUAGCGCAAGAUUGGCUAAUGUGUCAUUACCAUAUUCUGUGCACUUUCCAAAUCAUCGAACUUCCCAAGUCUGACAUUUGGUACUGGAAACAAUUUCUUUUAGUUAAUUUGGAAGAAACCCUGUAUCAAGCAUAAUACCUGCACAAUUUAAUGAGAGGUUCACACAAAUGGGCAAAAGACUUGAAAAUUGAUUGGGGACAAUGCAGUAAACGAUAAGCUUCAAUGUAAGAUCUGUAAAAUCUAUUAGAAUACGAAGCAUUUGUUAACGAUCUAAUCUAACUAGUGAGGAAAUUUCGCAUCUCAGAAGACAAAAAGGAUAAUAAUUUUUCUAAACAAAUGUAACAUAUAGUGGUCUCAUAAGAAAUUUUGGAGUUGGACAAAGAAGGGAGUAGUUCAAUAUGGUAAUUUCCAAAUCAUAUAAACGUGUUCUUCAUUGUCAUUGCAGACUUGUAGUUUGCUUGUUUUUCAAUUACUUGAUUGUGAGUUACGACAUUACGACCCCUGCAUAUUGUUAUUUUGUAUCUUUCAGGUCCGAUUCUAUUCGGCGAUUCGGGUCUUGUCUUAAAAAUAACAUAACCCAAACUGAAAAUAUUACACAUUACAUGGUUCGGACCUCAUAUGGUCUUGUCUUAAAAAAUGUUUUGGAUCCGAACACGGCUCAAACCUAUUUUUAGUUAGUUUUUAAUACAUCCUACAAAUGUAUAUCUGAUUAUACCGUGUUUUUUUUUUUUAAAAUUNNNNNNNNNNNNNNNNNNNNCAUUUUUUCCUCAAUGACUCUAUGUAAGAGAUUUAGUAAAUUACAUGGUGAAGUUAAUACAAUGUUUUUCACUGUUGUUUUUUUUUUUUCCUUUAGAAUGCGCUUGUUGGGUUGAACAUAUUGACGUCAAUACGAGAUUACUGUGUCAUUGAGGACUUGACCAAGAUAGUAUGCGUAUGCCAAUGUUUCAAAUUUUUUUUAUCACAACUGAAUUAAUAAUGAUAAAAUUGACAGCACAUUAAAAGAGUUUUAGAUGAGGAACUAUGAAAUAAUAAAAAUAAAAAUAUCUCUUAUGGUGAUUUAACAUACCCAUUAAAUAUGAUGUUGAGUGUAGAAAACAAAGGGAUGUGUAACUAGUAUUUGGAGGUGUGUGAAUAAAAUUUCUUAAUUUCUUAUUAUACUGUUGAAACACUAGUAAAAUGAACAAAAAGCUAAACAAUUCAUAUGUUUGACAACCAUAUUUUUACAUUAUUUCCUUUAAUCUUGAUGAUCCAUGUAUGUAUGUGGAGAUACACGUCGUGUACUGAAAAUACUCUCAACAAAAUAAAACAAAAACAUAAUUAGUAUUCGUGUAUAAUACGAUUACGAUGUAGAAAAGCCUCACCCACUACCGUAGAGUACCGUCCUCUCCACGAUAUAAAGGUAGAGAGAUGAGAGAAGAGAGACGUUGCAUUUCUGAUUUGGCAAAGCUACAUUUCACAAAACAAACACACAAUCAGCGAGCCAUGGCCGCUUCACCGUCUCAGUCCGAUGCUCAGCCUGCUCUCCUCGCUCCUCCACCGGAAUCCGAGUCUCAGAUCUCUUCCCUCCUUUACGGCAAGUUGCACUACUCUCUCACCGCCGCCUCUAUUUUUGAUUUGAUUUCUCAUGUUCAAAACCACUAAUCGUUCGAUUCGAUUCGAUUCGUUGCAGAGAUUUCGCAACAAGUCCAAGCAGAAAUGGAGGACAUGCUCAAGUCGAUCAGGUCAGUUUUUGAAUCCGGUGGAGCUGUUAGGGCAGACUGUUUGAUUUUGAUUCCGCUGCAGAUUUUGAAGUGAUGAUAUGUUGUUUUUUAUGCAGGGAAAUUGAUGAAAACUCAGGUCAGAUUACGGAGGAGAUUGACAAGUGCAAGGAGUCUGCGCUGGAGAAGAAGAGAGGCUUAGAGGAAUCCAAAGAACAAGUCGAGAAAGCUGCUUAUGCCGUUCUGCAGAUGCUCAACAACUCCAUACCGUAGCUGUAAGUUGUUCAAACUCCUCAUCCUUAUCGUCCUGUUUGAAGCAGAUAGGGACUGGUGAGUCGAUUAGUACUACUGAGUGACUGAGAUGACUCGUAAUAUAUGUUAUUUGUUAAUGUAUGGAAUGUUUGAACUCCCUGGUGUUCUAUGAGUGGCAUUUGAUUCUCAGUAGUUCGAAUUCGAAUAGUUUUAUUUUCCUUUAGAAGGUCUUGUGAUACUAUACUUAGAAAAUAGAUAACUGUUAGUUUUGGAGAGUCUUAUGCUUGUUCGUGUCUCAAUGAGGGAAUUUUCUGCUAAUCUCCAAAUGUUUGCAAUUGAUGAAAAUUUUUUUCCUAUUGCCGUCACCUAUCUGUUUAAUAACUAUGACUAUAGCACUAAUUUAAAGAGACAUGACAAGUUUUAAUGGAUACUAUCAUAAGUCACAAUUUCAUUACUCCUCAGGAAGGAGACCUUUUAAAACACAUUAGCUAUUUAUAUAGUUUGCUAUAUCAUAUUUAGUUACCUUUUUCCGUUAAACUUCACUUCCACACGCGACACAGGAUAAAGUCCACCAGACCCUUUAUUCUAUAAAGCAUCUCAAUAUGAAAGUAGGAUCGGUACGUUCACGUGCUAUACUAGAGAUGAUACCUUACAUAUUUGCAUCUCCAUGGAAGUUGAAGAUUAUAUGUAUUCUCAUUUGAUUCCAUGGACUGAAAAUAACAUGCAAUCAUCAUUAUGAGCAUGAACAAAUAUUGAAAUUAGAUAAAGUUGAAACUAUGACAUACUUAUCAUUGGAAUAUUUAGAAGAUGUGAUGUCAAUAUCUAUUUGGUGCACCUUUUUUUUUUCCUUUCUCCUGUGGCAAUUAACAUGUUUGAAAUAUGAGAGCAUAUGGGAUAUUAAUUUUUAUACGAAAGUCAUGCUUUUGUAACUAUUUUAAAUCAUAUGAAUUUUUUGGAACGGAUUUUAUAUUCUACAUUUUGAAAGACUCACUAACCUGCCUGAUGGAAAAUUCAAGUAUCGAAUUAUAAUGUAGAUUAAUAAAAUUAUAUCUCCAUUCAGGCUGUUUGAUUAAAAGUGAGAAAGUGUACCUAUGUAUUCAGGUCAUCUAGCAGCUUUCUUCUCAUACUUCUUUUUCUUUUUUAAGUUCUUUAUGUGAUGAAAUGGUGUGUUUGAAGAUUACGUUUUUGAAGCUCAAAAAAUUGUAUAAGAUGGUCAUUUUCUGGUUUUUCCUGUCAAGUCAUGACAGUUCUACAUUUAAUUUGAGCAUAAAGCAUCUUGGAUAUUUCUUCACAAAAAUGAUUUUCCAACUCCUUGUUUCAAACCUUCAUUAGAACAUCUCUUUUAUUUCUCUCAUUUUCACAAGAUUUUCCUUGAAAGUUGUAUGUCAACAAUAACUGACUGAAAUUUGCGAUAAUUAUCUUUCUGUCUUCAUUCUGUGGAUAUUCUGUAUGCUUGAAAUCUUGCCAACUGAUCCCAUAACUUGAGAAACCUUUUUGUUCUCACUGUACAAAGGUGUGCGAUAUUGAGAAAUACCUUAAACUCUCGAACUACGUCUUCAGCUCCUAGUUUUGACCAUAACUGACAAAUGCAAUCCCCUCCAAUUCAAAUCAUUUAUAUAUUUCACGUUUGCAUCAUGGUUAUAAGUAGUUCGAGCAUCCCUGCACUGUCUGUUUCAAUCAAUACCAUUGUUUCUGUUCAAUAACUAAUCUCCUUCCUUGACAUGGUAUACAGUUGAUUGUUCUCUGCCUGAUGUGCAGGUUGUUUUAGGAAGCUGGUACCAGAUAUGUCCAUAGGAGCUGUGUAUCUGAUGAUUCUGAUCUAGAAGUAACUGAAGUGUCUGUCUAUCUGAAGCAUGCAGGAACAUCGAUUCUUGUUUUACUCUGAACUACGUCUUUAGUGGUUUAUAUAAUAUGUUUCCAAUAUAGAAAAGUAACCCGAAUGAAGUUGUUAGAUUCUUUUUGUCAAGUCUUGCACUGGAAUGAGAUACAUUGUAGAUAGUAGCGUUCUUUUGCGAGGUCCUGGUGUCUUAGACCUGACCAUGACGCUGGUUGUUCAUAUGCACAAUCAAGAUUAUGUGUAUGAAGUUUGUUCUGUUUGUGGAUAGAUCAAAAUAUACUGAUCAAUAUUGAACUUGGCACAUCCCUAGCCUUGAUAUGUAAGUUUGGAUUUUGAUCCGAUAGUCCUUUGUUCAGGUUAACAAAGAGCAUGACCCACUGGAAUAAGAGAGGAGCAAAGUAGUCCUAUAUUUUGGAUAACAAAGGGUGAAUGAGAUCUUUGGGCACAAAUUAGUUCUUUUUCAAGGCUUAUUUAUAUCCUUAGGAUUCAUGAAUACAGGUAAUGAAUCCUCUUCAACACACAUAAGCUGUUGAAGAGGAGGCUGGGGAUAGAAUGACUUAUAGACAGGAGGGAGCUUUGGAAAAGAUGGAGAUGAAGAAUGUUGCGGAAGUUCUUGGGAGGAUGGAGUUGGUUUAAAAUUAGAUGAUGUUGGCUGAGGCCGAGGUGUGGCUGGCCCCGUCAGUUCUUCUAAGAAUUAUGAGUGAUGGUUUAGUAGUAGCCGAUACGGUUGGUUUAGGUAAUGAAGAUGAACUCAUAAUCAGAUGAAUUACAUCGAGAUGGUGGUGGUGGUGGUGGUGGUGGUGGUGGUGUUGGAGUUGAUUGAGGUGGUAGUGGUUUAUGAGAGGAGGUGGAAAGUGACCGAGGAGAAUGAAGUAUAUAACUACCGAAAUCAUGGAGUUGGGAGUUGGCAAUUGGCUGAGCCUAGGACUUGGAAUGAGAUUAUUAUAGUAAUUGGAAGGAACUUGUUCAUCAGUGGUAUCAAUAAAACCGUUUGGGAUGAAGUUGAAGUUGGCAAAUGGCUGAGCCUGGGACUGGGACUAGGAUUGGUAUCAUAGUAAAGGUCAGCCAAAACGGUUUCUUGGAUGACAACCAGGCUCAUCGGAACAAACAUAAGGCACCUCAAAAGAUCAGAUGAAUUUGACAUUUCUUCACUCUUAGAUUUCUCUGAUCAUUACCAACAAACUAGCAGCAGACUAAUUAAUGAUUCCUUAUGAGUAUACCUUAUUUAGCAGCGAGUUGAGCUAUACUUGCUAUAGAUAUAGUGCAGCUAUUUUGUGAGGAAAGAAUGUGGUUUCGUUUCUGUGUUUCACAAGGACUAAAAUCUCCACUUUGUUGAGAUUUUACGAGUUGAGCUAUACCAACAAAGUUUCCACUUGUUGUUGGGAAGUUGUAAGGAGUACAGACUAGUUGUCUUGGUUCAGAUCCAGCAAGGCAGCAAGUCAUCAGUUCUACAAGCAUAAGAGAAGGUAUUUCAUUUCUAAUAUUGAAUUGGCCAAGUAUUUACUCUUGAUCAAGGAUGUCCACCAUUGAAACGACUUGUACCAGUUUCGAGCUUGUUAAUCAAAUGCCAUAUGAGCUUCUGAGUUUUACCAUCAAAAUUUGGAAAGAGAACACAAACAAGCAUUGGAAAUGCAUAAGGGAUUACUUCUGUAUCAAAAUAGGCGCAGUUCAUAAACUGGGACGGGAGCAUAACCAGACAUGUACUAAAAGGAGCUUUAUGAUAUGCCUAGGCUAGAAGCAAGUUGACCAAAAAGGUUCUAAAGCAUGACACAAUUCACUGCGACUGCGAUCACCGUAACAGGGAAAAUGCCAGCAUUGGAGAAACUAUACAAAUUAGCAGAAUCCCAAAAUGAUAGUAAUAAUCAAUCGCUUUUCUCCAGUCCCAGCCAAUACUGAUCGAUGAGGUCUACUGACAAGCUUUACCUCAUAUCCUCACACCAACAAAAAUGAAGAUAUUUUAUAUAAUCAUUAACUUAAUGCAAAAACAUAAUAAUUUCAUUAAAUAUAUGAGCAAUACUCUUAUUUGAGAACUGCUUUUUUUUUUUAGCACAAACUAUCUUGUUAGUUUUAUCAGCAAUGUAUGGUUUGACCUGUGAAACAACCUUUCAUAAAGGGAGAGCCCUCUGCUUCCACAAAUGCUAGGACUAGUCUGUUGUUGAUAUCAGACUACUUGCACAAGCUUUCCAUUCAUUGUAUCAAUUUAUUCCAGGGACUAGCCCUCAAUCUUUUCAGCUUAUCCGAUUAAACUUUUACCAUACAGCACUUCCAAAGAUUGCAUCUUCUAUAUCCUGUUCUUUAUGUGUUGCGUGCUACUACUCACAAACUGAAUCGGCAUAAAUAUAGAUAGACCACAUAAACUGGACUAAAAUCACAUCAACAUGACAUCUGAAGAUGUAAGACAACUAUAGAAAGAUACAACUGAAUAUAUAAAUUAUCGCAGUCACAAGUAAAACAUAGAAGUAAUUAUCAAUUAAUCAUGUUCAUAAGUUACCUCAUGAUCAAGAUCAGUGCAGUAGUUGUAAUAUACAAAUACCCUGUAAAUUGUCAUAAUCAAUUGUAUUCAAAACUUACUUGACAAGUCGACAUACUCAGUGCUCCAAUCAUCAGCAAAAGAGAAGGUGAGGUUACUUCAUAGAAAGCAGUCCCUUCUACCACAAAUAUUUUUAAGUUGAACAAAUGAACAGUAGUCCAACACAGGCCUCAAGAUGGUGGAAUAUGCACCAGAGAUGCUCCUUAAGAUCCUAUAAUGAGAAGUUUACGCUACAGAAGGACCCAUGAUGAUGCAAAUAAGGCUAUUCAUAACAUGGAAUACAGUGACAGUCCAACAGAGGCAUUGCAUUUGGAAUACGGCUGCUCAUACAUUAGCCAGGCCCUGCAGGCCCUUCUGAUAUUGAAUGUUAAUCAAACUGUAAUCUUUAUCACUAAAGAAAAAGAAACAAGACCAUCUCAAGGAUUGUUGUCCAACAAGUCAUAAAUGAAGACCACGGAGAGUUUGUGAAUAACCAAAAAAUUGCUAGUAAAUAUGUAGUGCAGCAUCAGGGGGGGCUAAAAAUUUUGCAUCCUGGAUAUCCGCAUUCCCUUGGUACACACUCAGCAAUUGAGGUACUCGGUCAAGAUACUUGGUCACAUAUUUCUCCAAGAAUUCUUUCUCCGAAUGAUGCAAAACAUAACUCAUAUUCACUUUUUCGUUUUUCAACCCUCGCGACAUCAAAACCUUAACAACAGAACACCUUGGGAUUAUCCUCUUCUCCAAACUGAAUGACAAAACCAGAGGGUUUCUGACAAUCAUACGUGAAGGCCAUCCCAUCUUGUUCACCAAAAAGUCCAUCACUUGCAUUAGUUUCUUCUCCGAAAGAAGCAUACAAGGAGGAAACUUCCUGAAGGCAGAGACAACAUCAUCCUCAGACCAACCCCACCUCAUCAUAUAAAGUCGGCGACAAUGAUCCAUUUUAUCCUUUCUACACAAUGCACGUAUUGCCCACAAGGAUCUCGAGUUUUCCAUAUCAAAUCCCAUUUCCUUGACCUCAAGCACAGCUUUCGCAAACUUCUCGUGGUUUACAAGCACAUCAUUAGUACAAUUAGUAAGCAGCAAAGCAAUGCAUGACUUGGGCAUACUCAAUUCAAUCAAAAACUCAAUAUUUGGCACCAGAACAUUCCCCUGGCUAGCCGAGAAAAUCCGGGAGCCACGCUUCAAAACAGUAAUGGAAUCUUGCUCAGAAAGCAGACUCCUAAUGAACUUAUGAACAGGUACAAUCUGUUUCUCCAAGCUGUGCCCCAACAGUGUUGGAUUUAUAGACACAACUUUGGCAAGGUCCUCCCUUGAAAGACCAGCAGAGGUGAAAUACUCGAUCUUUGGCAAUAAGGUUUUCUCAAAAUCGGCAGUGAGAAAUUUUGGGCGUAACUUGACAACCUGGGCGAUCUGGGUUUCAGAGAAGCCAUGGUUUCUGAAAUGGGCCAAAACGGAGUCUGCUUUCUCUGCGGAUCGCAACUUGACCCACUUGGAUGCCGAAAUGGCUCCUUCCGGUGACAACCCACACGAGUUUAUCAAGUAAUUCAUUGUGAAACUAUUGGGGUCUUGUUUUGCAGAGACGAUGGUGUGUGUGCAGAGGAAGAGGUGGGUUUGAAGAGAAAAGAAUGAGGGUUUUAGAUCUUCAAGAACAUACCUUUUGGCUUUAAAAGCAGAAGUAGAGAAAGAACUAAACCUGACCAUGGUUGCGCCACUGGUUCAGUCGUCUUCCAAGGCGCUGUGCAGAGAGAAAUGGAGAAUGCCAGGGUUUUGGGCUGUCCUAAACCUCCUCGAAACCAAACAUUUGUUUACCAAAUAUUUCAAUUUUACCCUUUUUACUUCUAUGUCAAAUUGUUGCAAUAAUAGACAUCUUUUUUUUGUCGGUGUUGAAUUGUAGAGUUUGUUUUAGCAUUUCUGUUUUGUUGUUCUUUACAUUUUUUUCUGGGAUCAUAAACACAAUUACUAGCUAGGGUCAGCAACCUAGUUACUACGGGUUAGUAAUCGAGUUAUUAAGUGUCAAUAACUGAGUUACUGGGUGCCAAUAACCGAGUUAAAUAGGUGUCAGUAACUGGGUUACCGGUGAUCGGAAUCUAGCGGACGUGAAUAUAUCAAAUUUAUUGGGGGUCAGUAAUCGAGUUACCUGGUGAUCGGAAUCCGACGACGAGAAAAAAUUAGAGUUACUCGGGUCAGUAACUUUGUUACCGGUGACAAGAGAAAAUCCAGUGGGCGGUAACCAAGUUAUUGGGGUCAGUAACCGAAAAACUAGUGACCAGAAUCCGGCAACCGAAAAAAAAUCCGAGUUACUGGGGGUCAGUAACUGAGUUACUGGUGAUCGGAAUCCGGCGACCGGAGAAAAUAUGAGUUAUAUGGGGUCAAUAACGGCGACCGAAGAAAUUCCGGCAACUGGUGACCUGAAUCCGGCGACUGAAAACCGGUGACCGAAGUCUGGUGAGAUUCCGACCAAGUCCUCUCACUCUCUCUCUCUCUCUCUCUCUCUCUCUCUCUCUCUCUCUCUCUCUCUCUCUCUCUCUAUAGCACUGUAGUUNUCGUUAAAAAUAAAUAUAACUUUUUAAUUUUUUAUUAGAGUAAUUAAUAGAUUNUUGUAUUAGGUGACAAGAAGAAGUAAUAGGGAUCAUGUCUAUUUAUAUUUUUGAAAUAGUCAGUUACGAUUUUCAUAAAUUUGGGUAAAAUGAAGGCCUGAAUUAGUUAUUACAUACUCUGCUAUCAUCUACCGAUAGACAAGUGGUUGUGAGACAUACCUCACCUAGUACAUAGGAUAGACUACCCUUUAGUAAUUGUAGCCAUAAAACACCCUAGGCCUAGAAUUAUAAAGGGUGAACCCACCAGGAAAUAGAACAAAUUGAAGAAAAACCUAGAAACAAAACAAGACUAAAAUAGUUAAUGGACUAGGGCCAAGAUACCCAAACCCAUAAGAUAGAGGCCCACUAAGGCAGCAACCAAGGGAUAUCCACUUCGGCACCAACCUAGUUGAAUCUGGUCCAGUCCACCCUUCAACCAGCACAUCGUUGUACUCGGCAGAGCGUCGUUGUUGUUGCCUUGAUCCACACGCCAUGAUGAAACGAUCCUCUCUCCUUGGCCUCGCCGUUGAACCAGAUCACCACCAAACGUCGUUGUAGCUCGUACCCAAGCAAACCCCGAUCCAGCCCCUACAACAAGAAUCACCAUCGAUCCAAACCGCUAGCCUCGCCACAUCUGCAUAGCACACCCACCAUCGAACAAAUCCCAGCCAAAAUCAACUGACAAAACCAAAACAAAAUCUCCCGCAGGCCAACCCAUUGAGUUAUAGUACUCGACAAAACCUCGAAUGAUAGCAAUCCAUUCCCGUCCGGCAGCAACCCUUCGACGACAGCCAGUGGCGUAGCCACAUGAGAGUGAGAGGGUUCAAAUGACCUCUCUCACUUUUCCAUACAACCUAUGAUAGGUUGAUACAAUCACCAUUUUCAUUCUUAUAUUAUAUAAUUAGUAUAAAGUUUGACGUUUAGACUAGUUAAUAUUACAUGCUACCUUACAAUCUGAAAAAAAAAGACUCAAAAUAUGAUCAUCAUGGAUAUUUUAUAUAUUUUUUAUUCAAGUUGGUAAGGGUUGAGUGAUACAAGCUACUCAAAUGUAGACGAUGUAGGAAACACUAAAUUUUGACCCUCCUAGUUUAUUUUUCUGGCUACGCCACUGACGACAGCAAGGCUUGAGACCCACCGCCGCGUCUAAGCACCGCCGGACAAGGGUAGAUCUGGUGAAAGAGAGGAGCUGGCGGCUAGGGUUUUUUUUGAGAUCGAGGAGACGACUUUUUCGGGUGCUAGUUCUUUUUUAUUUUUUAUUUUCUUUUAUGGGCUCUUGUCUAUUAGAUUCAUUGGAAUGAAUGAUAAAAGAGUUUAAAUUAGUACUAAAUGAGUAUUUUCUCAUAAACCAUUAAAUGAUACAUUUUUUCAAGCAUUAAUUAUAAAUAUGGAUUGAUUGGAUUCUCAACUACUAGCCUUUUUACCUGUGAAAAUAUUUGCACGGGAUCACAAAUUCACAAUCACUAGUAUGCAUCCCACUACGUACCCACUUUUCUCUCCACGGUUAUCUAUUUAUUUUACUAUUUUGUUUUCUAAUUUGGCUUCUUACUAUAAUAACAUUUAUUUUUGAUAACAUUUGAUGAACUCAUUAAGGGUAAAAUUAGUAAAACACAAUUUGGUGAAUUUCUGUUUGUUUUACAGAAAUAACCCUCUCCGAUAUCUUUCAUUUUAAUGAACUUUAUAUUUGUGAGGGACAGUUUGGAGACUUCAUAAAAUUAGUGAAGCCUUUGACACCAAAAAGGCUAGAGAUACAUGACACAGAGCUUUUUGUUCAAUGCGUGAAGAUAAGCAUACGUACGGGAAACAAUAACAUAUAAAAACUAUGUAACGAAAUACAAUACUACAUGAAACUACGGGGCAUACACAUGUUCCUCAAACUCACUAGGAUCUGAUUUCGAAUCUACUAAACCAUGAAAAGCAUUUUAGUACUAGACAUACAUCAACUUGAAUUCAAUAUUAAACUAAAACUAAUAAACUAUAUCUCAAAGUCACCACAAAGAUCGAGCUUGUCUAGUCUUCGUUCUCGAACCCUAGUUCAGCCAAAAUAUGGCCAUCAUUAAUUCUUCCAUUUCCAAAAGAGACAAAAAUUAAGCCACUGUGGCUCGCCCAUCUUGACCCUAGUGAUUUGAUUAAUGAUUGUUGAUGAAUAAUUAAGGAAUGUAGCUGCCGGGAAUAAAGCCGCCGCCGGCAAAACCCCAUCCCGGACUAGCUAGCUGCACACUAGUGAUUUGAUUAAUGAUUGUUGAUGAAUAAUUAAGGAAUGUAGCGACCGGGAAUAAAGCCGCCGCCGGCAAAACCCCAUCCCGGACUAGCUAGCUGCACACUAGUGAUUUGAUUAAUGAUUGUUGAUGAAUAAUUAAGGAAUGUCGCGGCCGGGAAUAAAGCCGCCGCCGGCAAAACCCCAUCCCGGACUAGCUAGCUGCAUGCAUAUGGGGACUACUAAUUAAUAUAUAGUCUCUCUAUAAAUAGGAAGAUACGAAACCUUAAUGAAUAAGCUUGCAUGCAUGCUUGCCUCGAUUAGAUCUAUAGGCCAUGGAGACUACCACAUUCUUCAUUUCCCUGUUAGUUGUCUUUGCUUCUCUCUUCUAUGUCUUGUGUAAAAUUAUUCCUAGCCCUGCUAGGCAACAAGUAACAGUUCAUCAACUGCCGCCGGGAAGCACAGGUUGGCCCAUCAUCGGUGAAACCUUGGAGUUUCUACGCACAGCCAGAAACGGCGUCCCUGAAAAGUUUGUAGCAGACCGGAGGAAGAAGUACUCAUCCCAUGGCUCGUGCAAGGUGUUCAAGACAUCGUUGUUCGGCGAACCUAUGGCCAUGCUGUGCACCGCUGCUGGAAACAAGUUCGUAUUUUCAAAGGAGAACAAAGUUGUCAAGACCUGGUGGCCUGCUAACUUCCAAAAGAUAUUUCCAAACCAAGCAGCUGACUUCCCCAAAGAGGUCUAUCGUGUGCGCCAAGUCAUGUCAUCAUUUCUCAAGCCUGACUCUGUCCGAAAGCAUAUAGGCAUCAUGGACCAGGUCGCGAAACACCAUUUCGAUACGCAUUGGUCCACGCAGCAAGGCAUCAUGUUUCACUCACUAGCAAAGAAGUAUACCUUAUCAUUAUCUUGCAGACUCUUCUUAAACAUCGAGAAUCCGCAAGUGAUUGCCAAGCUAGAGAAACCCAUUCGGGAUAUACAUGCAGGGCUGGUCUCAUUACCAAUAGAUCUGCCCGGAACCAACUUUAACAGAGCCAUCAGAGCAUCCAAGAUAGUGAAGAAGGAAAUUGGGAGUAUGGUUGUGCAGAGGAAGAUAGAUCUAAUGAGUCUGAAUUCAACUGACCGUGAACAAUUGAUCCAGAUGCCACAAGAUGCAAUGUCUUGCUGGCUCAUGGAGACAUAUAGCGAUGGAGAAGAUGAGCUGACAGAAGCAUACAUUGCCGAGAAGCUGUGUGCUGUAAUACAUGCCGCUUACGACGCUAUAACUGACACAUUGUGUUCCACUGUCAUCUUUCUGUCACAGCUUCCUCCAGUUUAUGAUGCCGUCCUCAAAGGUACGUACAUUAUAUGUGAUAUAUACCUAGUUAUAUACAGCAAUAUUAGGUACAGUACCCGCUAGCUAGCAUGCUAGGGACUUACUAAGUAAGUAACGAGUUGUGAAAUGGAAUAAUGGAUCCAUGUACAAAUGUGUUGCAGAGCUAACGGAGAUUGCAGAAUCAAAAGAUGAAGGAGAGUUGCUCAACUGGGGUGACAUACAAAAGAUGAAACAUACAUGGAACGUGGUAUGUGAAGUAUUGCGAUUGCAGCCACCAGGUAGUGGAACUUUCAGGGAAGCCAUCACUGACUUCGUCUAUGAGGGAUACCUAAUUCCAAAAGGAAUGAAGGCACGUAUAGUACUUUACAUAUGAUAUAUUAGCUAGCUAAUUUAUUCUAUAUUGUCUUUGACCAUUUCUCAUUUUCAUAGCUCCUUUGUGCAGUUACAUUGGAAUAUGUUUGCCACACAUAAGAAUCCCGAUUACUUUCCAGAUCCGCACAAGUUUGAUCCGUCAAGGUUUGAAGGACAAGGACCACCUCCUUUCUCGUAUGUUCCUUUUGGAGGAGGACCUCGAAUGUGUCCCGGAAGAGAAAAUGCUCGAUUUCAGAUAUUGGUUUUCUUGUACAAUCUGGUCACCAGGUUCAAGUGGGAGAUGGUUUUUCCUGACGAGAAGAUGGUCGUGGACCCUGUUCCUUUUCCUACCCAUGGACUUCCUCUUCAUCUGUUUUCUCAUAGAUCAUAAACGUGAUAAUUAAGUACUGUAAUUGUUAAUUGUUUGAAUAAGGUCCUGCUCUACGAGCAUCUCCCAUAAGGUAAAUUUGUAAAUUUGAAGCUAAAUUUAGCUAAGAAAACAAGAAUAUUCUCUAUGUAUCUUCCUCUAGCAAACUUUAGGGCGGAUCCAUUGACAAAUCAUGAUCACUCUUUGAAUCAGACAAGGUGAUCCUUUAUCCCCUUAUAUCUUUAUCUUAGCUAUGGAACCCCUCAUUCAACACCUAAAUAGUUUAUCAACCAGGAGUAAAACCCAUGUUGGUAAGCUUUCUUCCCCGCUAGGUUUUAGGAUUUCAAACCUAAUGUUUGCUGAUGACUUGCCUUGUUUUUGGGAAAGCUUCUCCCAAAGCUGCUUGAAAUAUUCUUACUGUUUUCAUAAUUUCUCUGCUGCCUCUGGUCAGAAAAUAAACUUCGACAAGUCAUCUUUGUAUUUCUCUCCAAAGGUCAGUAAUCUGACCAAGGUUAAUAUAGUUAGUAUAUUAGCUAUACAACAGACAGCUACCAUAGGCAAGUAUCUUGGCAUUCACAAUGUGAUUUUCUGGAAAGACCCUUCAAAUGCAAAGGAACUUAUGCUCAGAAUUUCAAAUAAGUUAGCAGGUUGGAAAAAAGGUACUCUUUCGAUCUAGAGCAGGCAGACUGACUCUUAUUAAAUCUAAUUUGUCGGGCAUGCCUAAUCAUGUUAUGUCUUAUUUUAAAUGCUCUCCUCAAUUACAAAUGCUAUUGAUAAGGAAGCUACAAAUUUUUUCUGGAAUUCCAAUGGGAGUCCUCGAUCCUGUGGCUUGGAGCCAAAUUUGCUGCCUUAAACAUGUGGGUGGACUUGGCAUUAGACCAAGUGCUUACUUUAAUAAUGCUGCUAUUGCCAAAUUUGGCUAGAAAAUUAUUAAGGAACCAGAAAAUUGGUGGGCACAGAUUAUGAUGAAAAAAUAUUUGAGAAAGGUUAAUUUCUUUCAAGCAAAAAAAAAGCAAGCUAGCUCUUUGGCUUGGAAGGGAAUCCUUGAUUGCAAAGAUCUUCUUACUCAAGAGUUAAGAUGGACUGUUGGCAAUGGAAGAAGUAUCAACUUCUGGACCUUUAAUUGGGUUUUCCCUUUUCCUCUUAGUAAUCUUCUCAAUGAUAGUCAAAAAGCUAGUAUUAAUUGAAAUGAUUCUGUUGCUGAUUUUAUGACUAACAAGUGUUGGAAUAAGCAAAAACUCUUGCAGGUACUAGAUCAUAGCAUUGUAAACCGAAUAUUGGGCAUUCCUAUUCCUGUGUGUGAUCAGGAAGAUGAACUUAUUUGGGGACCCUCUUCUAAUGGAAAUUUCUCAAUCAAAACAGCAACUUGGUUGCAAGGUAAGGAUCAAAAUGUUCAUGCUAAUGCAGAUCUUUUAAGGAAAAUGUGGCGCUUGAAUAUUCCACCAAAAGUAAAAAUAUUUAGUUGUCUUCUAUUAAGAGGCAGAUUGAAAACUAAGGAUGACUUUCUAGGUUCAGCUACAUCAAUGAUAAUUCUUGUUCGCUUUGCAAUAACGAUAAUGAAACUGCUGAUCAUAUUUUUGGUUGUUGUGUUUUCUCACAAGAUAUUUGGAGAAUUGCAGGCAUUGAUAAUCUAGUUGACUGGAACAAUGGAAUUUUACAUAAUAUGAGAAGCCUUUUUGGCAAUAAUGCCUAUAUAUGAUAAAGAUUUAUUUGCCAAACUUCUUCUUCUGUGUUGGCAAAUAUGGAAAGGAAGAAAUGAUUGUGUUUUUAGAAAUUUAACUCCUAAUCUUUUGAUACAGUACAAGUGGCUCUUCAUUACUUGCAUUCCUACAGGAACCAUAAUUCAGGGCUUGGUGGAUUUUCUACUCAAAACCCUCUUGCCAUAAUUAAAUGGCAUCCACCACCCCCGAAUUUUUGCAAAUUAAACUUUGAUGGCUCUGUUAACCAUAUGAACUCGACUGCUACUGGCUUUAUUAUCAGAUAUGAUAAUGGUCAGUUUGUAGCUGCUGGUGCAAAAAGAGUUGGUUCCUCAAGUGUUCCAACAGUUGAAGUUGUUGCUUUAAGAGAAGGACUUCUAAAAGCAAGAGAGAAGCACAUCAAGAAGGUAAUGGUAGAAGGAGACUCAAAGUUGGUGAUUGACUGCAUUAAUGACACUUGUGCUACCCCUUGGAGACUCAAGACAAUGGUUCAAGAUAUUAAACAAAUAUGCAAAUGUUUUGAGAGCUGCUCUUUUCAACAUGUUUUUCAAGAAGCUAACUUCCCAGCAGAUGCCUUUGCAAACUUAGGUCACACAAGCAACAUGGAUAUUGACUUGGAAGAAUCUUGUCCUCUUUAGAUUGGAAAUGUUUUAUUGUUUGACCGCUUAAGGUUAAGUUGUACUCGAGGUUCUAUUUUGUAAGGGUGCGUCUAUUGUCACCCCACAAACCGUUUUAUUCACCCCACAUAUUGUUGAUUUAUUGAAUGACUAUUAUAUCCUAAUGUAAAAUUACAAUAAUGGACAAUAAGUUGUUACAAAUUACAAUUUUUUUUUUUUUUUUAGAUAUAAACACAUGUACUUUAUAAAUUUUAACCCAAAAUUUAUCAUAUUCGAUUUUUCUAUGAAGUUUGAAGAAGACACUAGCAUUCAACUGAAGAUGAGGUGAACUGUUUAUAAUUUUUUUUCUUUGUUGAUGUUUCGUCUAUUCCAUUUACUCAUUAUUUCUCAUAUCGAUUUUGUAUGUAAAUUUUCAUAUCUUGUCACUCACUUAUAUAUAUUCGAUUUUUUUUUAUCGGCGUUAGAGCUUUUUUCAAGUAAAGUUUACAGACAUUGUGCAUCUUGAUGUCGACUGAUACCAAUGAGUUGUUAAGUUUGAGAGUUUUUUCUUGUUAUUUAAUUAGGAUUUAUAUUUUAAUGUGACUUUUAUUGUUCAGUUUGUGAUUCCACUUACCCAAAUGAUAUUAAUCUUAUGGUUUUCUUCAAUUUCAUUUUGUUUUUGGAGUUCAAUGGCAUUAGAAGAGAUUGAUAUUGUGUAUAUUGCAAAUUGGUGAAUAAAGUAAAUUUAAAAUUAAAAAUUAUAUAGGUGGGGUGAGAAGAGAUAAAACCUAGGGUGAACAAAACAAAUUUGAAAUUGAAAAAAAUAUAUGUAGGAUGAAAAAAGAAUUUAGGGUGAACAAAGCAAAAAUGGGAAAAAUGGUAUUUUAAAUUGAUGAACAAAGUAUACUUACAAUUAAAAAUAUAUAAGUAGGGUGUGAAGAGAAGAUAGGGUGAACAAAAUGAUUUAUAAGGUGACAAUAGACGCACCCAUUUUCUAAUUUACUUUUCGUAUAAAAAAAAAUCAUGACCACUCUUUGAGAUACUCAUCAUAAAUUCCAAAUAUCAAACUUCAGAGGCGAUCUAUUGGCAGAUCAUUUUGUUUGAGACUCAAAUUUGACAACAAGGCCUCUCUUUAAAAAUCUCUCAAUUUGUAAUUGACUUGAUAGACUCUAGAUUCCUUACAGAUACGCUUUAAUAAUUCAUUUUAUGAUGAUCUUGCCCAACACUAGACUUGCACUGUUCAGUUUAUUCCAGAUGACAUACAACCGAUACAGGUGUUGUAAGAAAACUUUGAGAUAAAGCUGAGAAAGUAUAAAAAAGACAUCGGAGAAGUACAUUGAGCAAAAAUGAAACGUUUGAUUGCUCCAAGUCAUACAUCAAGACAUUAUAUCAUAAAUCAUCAGAGAGCAACCCUUUGUGCCGAGCUGUAUGACGUAUGAGCUUGAGCAACGAUAACUGAAACCAGAACUCAGCAUGCUGGCAUGAGAGACGAAAUACAUGAUAACGAUAACCAGAUUGAAUACAUCAAAGCCUACUUAACUUGAGCGAUGGAAUGCUGGUAUGAGCUUGCAGCAUCAAUCAUUUAUAAAACUCAAAGUCAGUAUCAGGCUUUUUCACAUUGGUUUGGUAUCCCUUCUCAAAGUCCUUUGGCAGUAUGACAUAUCGAUUCUUUCUAACUGCAUGCAUUCCUGCUUCUUGACAUAUAGCUGUAAUCUGUAGAAAAUAGGUACCAUCCAGUUAGAAACUAUUUAGAAUUAUAGUGAUCUGAGACCACCAUAAAAACAUUCAGCAUGUUUUCAGCUCGUAGAGGUGAAGCCCCUAAGGACACAAAGCACAAAUGCUUCACCAUAAAAUUUAAGGUGAUCUACUAUGGCUCCUAAGUUCCUUUAUCAAUCUUACACAACUUUUAAAGGUAAUUCCAGGAAUGUGUUCAAACGGUGUUGUUAUACCAUUCAUAUGUGGCAAUUUUCACAAAACCCACAAAUCUACCUCAAAACAGUUUUGUCACUUAGUGUUAUGUGUGUGCAUGAAUAUGUGAAUACGUUAUAUGUCAAAACUCAACUAGUACAAAUUACGUCCCCACCCCAAACAUCACACUUAUAAUAAAGCGGAAAAAUGAUAGCACACAACAUUUCCUGUUGAGUCUCACCUCAGCAGCGCUGAUUUUGUCUGGUCGUGAGACGUAAUCUUCCAAGUCUACCUCAUCACUCAAGUUCAUUUUAGCAGUGCAGACCUGCAGGACGAAUAAAUAAUUUGGCAUUAUAUUCAAUAUAUUGCCCACAAGAUACAAAUUUGUUAUAAGAAUCAUAUACUGAUGAGAAACAAGAAGGACCUCAUUAAACAAGUUAUGCAUAGAAAGCUACAUAUCUGGACAUUACUUACUUGAAAAACAAGUCUUUUCUGCCGCCUGUCAGGCAAAGGGAAUUCAAUUUUCCGAUCAAGCCUUCCUGGACGCAGAAGUGCAGGAUCCAAAGUGUCAGCACGAUUAGUAGCCAUUAUGACCUUAACAUUCACAGUCUGGUCAAACCCAUCCAUCUGCAAAAUAUAUAAAUUCCAAAACUACUCAGAAAACUAGCAAGAAAUACAGUCCAGGUCAGUGUGUCAUAUACAGAAAUAUUUCUAAUCAAUGCAUUUACAUGUCCCAGUUCAAUUAUAUAUGCAGAUUUGGACAAUCAGAAUGUGUAUUCUUUCUUUAGCACAAAUAUUUAUGUUCUUCAAGAUAAAGUCUUCCUGGAACUACCUGAUUGAGGAGCUCCAUAAGAAUACGUUGGACUUCUCUAUCAGCUCCAGUUUGAGCAUCAAACCUUGCAGUAGCAAUAGCAUCCACCUCAUCAAUGAAGAUGAUGGCAGGUGCAUUCUCUUUGGCGAGACGGAAAACAUCACGGACCAUUCGUGGACCCUACAAAGACACCAAAUCACCAAAAAAAUUGAAUUGCUUCUAAUUUCAGUCAAACUGAGGCAAAGGUAAAAUUAACAUCUCCUAGCAGUAUAUGCCUCACAUUAUUUGUUCUUCCGAAAUAGUGAAAAGGAAAUGUGGAAUGUAUAUGAGACAUAUAAAGACAGCCUACAACAAUCUCUUCCAGGAGGUCCUACCUCACCCAAAUACUUCUGAACAAAUUCUGAACCAACAACUCUAAUGAAGGCAGCAGUCGUGUGAUUGGCAACAGCCUUAGCUAGCAUGGUUUUACCAGUUCCAGGCGGACCAUACAACAAUACACCACGUGGAGGAUCUAUUCCAAUUUGUUUGUACAAGUCAUGGUGAGUAAGUGGAAGUUCCACUGCUUCACGGAUUUCUUGCUUUUGAAUGUCACAACCACCGAUAUCCUAAAUACCAGUUGAAACAAAUAAACUACAAUCAGUACCAUUGCAUUAUUUUACGAUAACAAAUAAACUACAGAAUCUUCUGAAUGAGCAUUUAGCCAAAGGAGGGAAUAAAACACUAUCAGUAUUAUUGCAUCAAUAUUACAAUAACAGAAUCUGCUGAAUGGGCAUUUAGCCAAAGGAGGGAAAGGGCAAACAGAUGAAUCAUAUAAGUUAACACUUUGCCAGAUAACCAAACACAGCAACAGUUUCAGUGAAACCAGAAUAAAAUUACUCUAAUAUAGCGACCAGCUUCGGUUCGUUUGGUUACUACUAUCUAGUAUCUAAAUACCAAACUUAUAAUAUGUUACGUAGCAGUAUCUUAUAAAUCUUCAUUUAGUGUUUAGAAUUCUUAUCUAAUAAUUAUAUUGAAAAAGGUAUAUGCAAAUUCUAGAGCAUUCCGGUUGGAUUGGAUGAUGACCAAGCCCUAAACACAAGAAAUGUAUCAAUCUCUUAGAACCUUACUGUAGCCCAGACCAGUCUAGAGAACAACAACAAAUAACACUUGUUUGACUUGUUUCCUGUAGCACAAAAUUUCUAAAAGAAUAGGAAAAGUGUCCGGGUUCAAAGGCUUGAUAACAAUCAGAUAUCCAUCAUAUGUUUGUCAUUCCAGCUCACUAUACAAAACUGGUGAGUUCACCAAAGGUAAAAAGACCAACAAUCAAAAUUUGUUGAUACACUCUAAUCUAAAAUUUGUUUGAACACUUCUAAACCUUCACAUGUGGAGUGAGGCAAAAUUGAGACUGUACAUAUGGUUGACAAUACAGGUAGACUUCAGACCAAAACUCAAUGAAUAAUAAUCUCCCCAUGCUUUUAAAACAAGCUCAGUUAUCGCAAACUUCCACAACUCCCAAAACCCCACCAACAUUCUAUUCAUUCUAACUCUUUUAGGUGCACAAUUGUACAAUAGCUACCCUAAAAAUCAAACCUUUCACCAUAUUCGCAACUGGAACAGUCAACCCCACUUAUCCUAAGCUUCACAUAGAGCACAGUUUCGGGCAUAAUUCAAUCAAACUUAUCCUAACUUUAAUAACUAUCAACACGCAAAAGUCUGUAAAACUUGGAUUCUCGUUAGUUUCCCCAAACGAAAGCACCAGCAACGGUCACGUCAUCCCAAUUUAACCCUUUCAAUUCAAAAGGGCACAUAAUUUGCUGUCCUAAAUUUCAUUAACAACCCUAAUCAAAUAAUUUCUAUGAACAAAAUAAAGAAAAAGGAAGAAACUAAAUCGAGCGAGGAUUACGUUAUAGGUGACGUCAGGCUUCUCGGACUGGCUGAGAAGCGAAAUACUGGAGUCGGCCUCGGGCGGCAGAACGUCGACGAGGGCGUUGGAGUGGCGGUGCAAGGCGACGGAGGCGGAGGGCUUGAGAUGCUCUCGAUUAAUAGUACUGAGAAUCCUGACGUAGUAAUUGGAUCCCGUGGUGGACCCGACGAUGCCGUUGUUCUGAUCCACCAUCUCCAUGAAUUGACCGAUCACCAGAGGCACCGACUGGAUCCUCUUCACCUCCUCCUGGGCGCGGAGGAGCUCCCGCUUCAGAUUCUUCUGCUCGUCUUUCACGUACUCCUCUUGGAUGUCGAUGAACUCCAGCUGGCGCUGCAGGGAUUUCAGGCGGCUGUAGAGGUCGUCCUCGUCGGAGGAUUGGGGCUGCUCGCUGGAUUUGGGGUCCGAUCUUGUGGAGGGGAACGAAGCGGGUGGCUCCGACACCAUCGCUGACGCUGCCACUGCUACUCCACCGCUUUGGUUCUGGUUUUGAUUGUUUGGGCCUUUGUGGCCUAUCUACGUGUUUAUAUAGCAGUUGCUAGCUGCUUCUACAUUUUUCAGAGAAAUUAACUAUUUACGAGCAAAAAAUUAAGGUUUUUUCUUGUUUUUUUUUCUUUUAUCAAAAGAAAUCUCAUUCAAUAAACUACAACUACAAAAUUAUCAUAUCACGAGCAAUAGGCUUUAACCUCAAGCUACUUGUCCUAUGUAGGAGUAGAAAAUAAAUUCAGCCACGCAACAAUGACGAGCAUGGAUACAGCAAUGAUGACAGUAGUAAAUACAAGAGUAAAUGCAGUCAUAAGUGAAGCGGUAAUUGUGGCGAAAUGAACCAGAGAAUGGUUACAACAGUAAGAAUGCAAUGAUUACGAUCAUAAGUGAAAGUUAUUGCAGGAUUGAUGGCUACUUGCUCAAAAAAUACUUACAACACAAGCUGUAUGGUUGCUCAUCGAGCAAGUUUACUUGCGGUACAAGUAGCCUUUCACCUAUAAAUAGGUAGUGAAGCGACCGUGUAUGAUAUUUGGUGUGACCUAUAGCCUAUAGCUUAUAUCUGGUGUAAUCUAUAGCUUUUCACCUAUAGACAGGCGACAAAUUGUCACCCUUAACGAAAGAUGACCGAGGUUGUCAAUUCGUUGCCUGUGUGUCACUUAGGUGAAGAAACAAUUCUCUGUUUUCUAAGUGUUUCUUCAAAUUGACAAAAAAGUUUUUCGUCACCUAAGAUCACUUAAAUGACAGUUGUUUUAACUUACGUGGCAAAAAAUUUCGUCCCAUAAGUGAAAUCAUACUUAUAUUGUCCUACUUUGUUUAUAGACCAAAAAACAAACAGAAAAAUGGGAGAAAAACCUCUCUUCGAAAACUUUAGAGCGAUUUUGAGUUUCAAGUCUAAAUGUCUUCAAAUUCGGUCUUCUUAAGUUUUGUUUACCUCUACCCAAUUGUUUCUAGCUUGGUAUACUCUCUUUCGCCCUCUUUUUUUAUCAUAGUUUCCAUGUUUUUUGACGAUAUUUCUGGUGAAGAGUUCUUGUCAAUUACUGGUAGUAUUAAUUGAUAAUAUUGAUAUUAUUUGUGUUGAUUAUAUAUAUAUGAAUUGUGUUGGCUUUUGUGAAAAUCAUUUGUGCACUCAAUAAUUAAGAUAUUGUGUUUAAUUGUUAGUGGAUAAAUGCAAUAAUGAUUAAAUUAUUUCAUUCACUUAUAGCUAUAGGUUUAGCCUUACAAAUCUCGUUUGAGAAUCAUUUUGCCAAAUGAUUCUUGAAAUGUUCCAUUUUGGACAGUUCGAGAGAUCACAUGAAUUUGUUUUGCAGUUUGCAGUUCUUGGGUUUUCGAUUUUGGUUUUGGGAAAAUUUUGACAUUUUCUCCGCUACUGUUCCUCGAGUGUAUACUAGGUUUUGAUAUUCGUGCACUUAGGAAAUUGUAGAGAGUUGUUGCCGAAAUUUUCUCAUACCGAAAUUGAAACGCAUAAACACAAUCUGAUGCGCGUAGUAGAGAGAAAGCUGGGGCAAUAAGGAUUUCGGAAAGGAAGAUGAGUCAUUAUAUUCACCGAGGCAUCCUAACUCUCGAUGUUAUUUAGACCCCAACAAUUACAAAUGAGAAUUUAGGAUUCAAUGAUGAUAAUCAUAUGAGAUAACACCACAUGCUCAAAAGAACUGGACUAGAGUGUCGUAGCCUACAAACAACGAUUAGGGGAAGCGCGCCAGUGAACGAAGAGUAUGGGUAUCAAACUAUAUUGCUUUAAGUGACUCCCCAAAUAUGUUGGUUUACUCAUUGACAAGCUUGAACCCCGAUUGAUGAGAGACGCCUGAGAAUAGACACUACUACAGCUGAAAUCAUUGUAAGCACUAGGAAGAAGGCCAAUUUACUGUUUUCUUUUGGUGGAGGCAAAAUAAUGUUUUCCCAAAAAGAAGUCGUUGGUGAUAUUUUUGAUGCAAAUACUCACCAUUUUUUUCUCUAUGUUUAUCUUUCUUAUUCCUGAUUGGCUAGCAUUUUCAGUUUAACAAUAGACCAGAAGACAUUCCCCAUUUUCAAGAUUGCAUUUCUUUACAAAAGAUAAAACAUUUGGAGUAGAAAACCCAAAGGCGGCCUCUCUCUCUCUCUCUAAACCCUAAUACCAGAAAACCUCAAUCUUCAUCCUAAUCGCCCCCGUCCGGUGGUGGCCCUUGGCCGGUUUUGUGCCGAUGGGCCUAUCAUCGACGGGAGUUACAAAACUUUUGAUCUAAAGGGGGUUUUUGGCCUAAAAGUUCAAGGCAGAUUUUGACCGGCGUGGUUUUUCGGAUCGUGUUUGGAGACAUGGCACCCAUGGACCAUGGUCACUGUGUUUGGGCUUCGAUGGUGGGACGAUGUAUUCAUCCAUUUUUAUCCAGGCGGUGGCGAUGGUGAGGUAGUUUGUGGUGCAUCAGUCUCAAAUUGGCGGUGGUGUUGUGGUCUUGAGGUUGUGGCGACGUUGGGUUUCUCUUCGUGGUGGUGUCUGCAUGUCUAGUCGGCAGCGAGACACGACGGCGGGAUGGCAUCGAGGCACGGCAGCGGGAGCACGGUGGUAUGACCAUGGUGGCUGGUGCAUUCACCUUGUCUGCAACAAUGAUGGAAGCUGAGCUAGGUUAGUUGCUAUUGAGCUUAGAGUUAAUUCCUUUUGGGCCAUAAGGUUAUUUUUUCAAUUUUUAUGUUACUUAGUAUAUUUAAAUAAUUCCUAAUACAUAUAUGUGUGUUAGGAUUUUAAGCAAUGUUGUGCCUCAUAUAUCUUGUGGCGUAUGAGUCUAUUUUUUAAAGUAGUGUAAGUUCUCUAACGUUCUCUAGAGUAGUAUCGAAUGAGAUUAUCCGUUAUCUCUACGUUUUGAAAUGUCUAGCGGUAAGUCUAUUGUCUAUGUACAACUGUGGGUACUACCACUAACUCCUUGCCUGUCUAUGUCCUUAACUAGCAGCGGUAGGCUAUGUAACGAUCUAUUUUACGUGUGAUGAAUAUAUUUUUCUACUUAUUGGCUUGAUUAAAAAAAAUUAAAAAUAAAAAAAAACAUUUGUACUAAUCACUGAACGCAGCUUGAGACCCAUGUUGCACCUCCACCGCCAUUGCACCACCCAUAUUGCCGUGCCGCAGAUGUGGUAUCCUAACUGCCAUUUAAAAAACGACACUAGCAGAGCACCCACAGGAAAGCAGUAGCAGAAACCCAACACAUGAUCGAAAAUCCCACUGCCACUUGCUACGCGCUCCAAAACCAGGCCAACCCCAAGAUCGAUAACUAGAUCUAAAUGGAGCCAGCCACAAACCCGAAAUCUGGAUUGGAAGGGCACCCCUGCGACACGAUCGACUACCACCGAUCGCCAUCCUUCAAAAACCAUGUGCACCCACCGGCGGCAACUGAGAACAAUGCAAGAUAACCCCCCCCCCCCCCCCCCCCCCCCCAACAAGUCCUUGAUUACUGCCACAAACCUCCCAUCCGACUGCACUCAACGCACGCCAGCCAGGCCAUAGGCCCGCGCUAACACCGCCGCGCAACCGGAUGAGACAAGCCAACGAUAGGGGCAACGAUAGAAUUAGGGUUGCCACAAGAGAAGGGUUUUUUUUCCCUCUACUAUUAGGGUUGACAUAAAUAUAUGUUUUAUCACUUUUAUGUCACUAAUUAAGGUGUGUGAGACAAUAAAGCCGUAUCCUAGGGUAAUUGUUUCUUCUUUUAUGUCACCAAAAAAAUGAAUUGGUUCCGGUCUAGUCUUAACCCGCACCGCACCGCACCGCACCGGUGCGGCCCGUCCCUAAAGAACAAAGGAAGAUGCUGACCGGGUGGAACACACAAAAGUCAAAACCAAAGACUUGCUAGUGGUAAAUAAUGAGCCGAAAAGUGUAUCAGUUGGUAAUUUUGUAAAAUGUAAAAGCAUGAAGUUGUAAACGGGAAAAUGACCUACUUGACCUACUACGUUUUAUACUUUAAUUUGUCACGAAAAAUUUGUCACCGUCAUCUCCAUCAAGCAUGGCAGUGCUCCACAACCUGAAGAAGGUCCACAGGUUCGAUUGUUCAACGAUUUUCUGCCCGUUUGGUUCCACAAGUAGAAGGUUUGUUAUUCAGAAUCAUAAGUUUUUCUGCACACACAUCAUUACCUCACAAGAUGAGAAUUUCACACAGAAUUACUUGAUAAAGUCAUGUGGGUUAUCACCGGAAGGUGCAAUUUCAGCAUCCAAGCGGGUCAAGCUGCAAUGCCCAGAAAGAGCAGACUCUGUUCUGGCCAUUCUCAGAAACCAUGGAUUCUCUGAAACCCAGGUUGCACAGGUUGUUAGGUCACACCCUCGUAUUCUUGUUAGUAAUUUUGAGAAAACGGUUUUGCCCAAGCUCCACUAUUUCACCUCUAUUGGGGUUUCAGCAGAUGACCUUGCCAAAGCUGUAGCUUCAAAUCCAAUGCUGUUGGGACAAAGCUUGGAGAAUCACAUCAUACCGACUCAUAAAUUGCUGAAGAGUAUGCUUCCUCACAAAUCUGUUGGCGCUGUUUUGAAGAGUGGCUCACGGAUUUUCAUGGCAAACCACGGCACCAGUGUGUUGCCAAAUAUUAGUCUUUUGAGACAAGUAGGUAUGCCACAGUCGGGAAUUUCUUAUUUGCUUGUUAAUUUGACUCGCCUUGUCAGUCUAAAGCACGAAAGUUUUGCUCUACUUGUGGCCGAGGCCAAGGAAAUGGGAUUCAAUAUGAAAAACUCAACUAGCUUGCAUGCAAUGAACGCAUUGUGGUGUAAGAAUGCGUUGAAUCGCAGUCGCGGAGUUUGUAUGAUGAGUUGGGGUUGGUCUGAGGAUGAUUUUAUCUCUGCCUUCAGGAAGUGCCCAAAGAGUAUGCUUGUGUCGGAGAAGAAAAUAAUGCAAGUAAUGGAAUUUUUGGUGAACAAGAUGGGAUGGCCUUCUGUCGUAGUUGCUAAAUACCCAAUUUUUUUUGUUGUAGUUUGGAGAAGAGAAUAAUCCCAAGGUUUUCGGUGUUCAAAGUUUUGUUGUUGAAGGGAUUGGUAAAUGAAGACCUGAGUUUGCUGUAUGUGUUACAAAUUGGGGAAGAGCAGUUCUUGAAGAGGUUUGUGACAAAAUUUGUGAACCAAAUACCUCAGCUGCUGAGUGUGUAUCAAGGAAAUGUGGAUAUCCAUGAUGUAAUUGACACCUUGAAAACGGAGAGUUUGUAACUGAUUAGCCCUUUAAUGCUGCACUACAUAUUGGUGGUAGGAUUUGUAUUCAACAUUGCAGGUUACAGUUUUGCUUCUAUCUGUUGUGUUUUGAAAAGAUCCUUUAUGAUUCAUUACUUUGACUGUGCCCUGUAUGAUUUGCUCUAUGUUGUAUCCUUGUACGGUUUCAAUGUAAUUCAUUUUGGAAGAGUUGAAAAGGAAAACAGAACGAUAAACUCUGUUCUGAUCUGCAUUUCAUCUGCGUUUAUAACUUGGAGAAACUAACCUAGAUGGUCUUCUUCACUCUUCAUUUUUUCUCUUUUUCAAUUGAAAGAUUAUAGUUGGAAUGAUAGUUCAAUAUGAGAAGAGACUCCAGGAGCUAUCCGACAAUGCAAUGCCUAUUUUGGACUCCCAACUGUAUGCUGAUUACUAAUACCUUUCUCACAUCAUCAAUUUUGGGUCCGGUGACAGGUAUUACUAAUUACCAACUCCUGUCCAUAGCUUGGGAUUCUUCUACUUGUGGGAGCACGUACCAAUCGUGCUACCAACACUCCAACAUACCACCAACACUCCCAACAUACCAAUGUUAGUUUUGUAUCACCCAAGCCAUACACGACUCCUAGAGCUCCUAACUACAAAACUGAGUGUGCUAAUUGAAAGCCUGCUUAUUCAAACCUCUGUACAAUUGAUGCUAAAUUCACCACAUCCCUUUUCAAACAAGCAACAAAAUUUCUCCUCCCUUGUAUCGCCCACAUUUCCUCUGACCAGCAAUAACAUUCACCACACCAUUCGCAUUCACCAGGUUUACAAAUUACUAUAUUAUUAGUGAUGAUUUAUGUCGUGGCCCUGUAUGGAACAAACAGUUUAUUCAACACUUUAUUCAUCAUAUCCCCAUUCAUAGUUCUAUUUACACUGAAAUUUCUUCACUUCAGGGUAUACUUUGAUAUUAGGAAAAAUAUGCAAACUGCUAGAAUUGACAGUCGAGUAGAGUUAAUUCAAUCAAGUUGAUAUUUCACGGCUUCAAACAGACAAGCGGACAACAGAUUCACCACUACAUCUUUGACCAUAAACGGCUUAAGGUAGCUUGUAUUGAUCCAUGUGGUUCAUCUGUUGGCAGAUAAACAUCAUCGUCAAACU